UAAAAUAGUUGAAGUUAUUAUUAGAAAAUCUUUUUGGAAUGGUGAUAAUGUUAUUAUUAGAAAUCUUUUGUGAAUGGUGUGAUGAUGAUUUUAAUUCAGUAUUUUAGUGGAAUUUUGUGACAAAAAAAAAAAAAUGAUAAUUCUACAUUUUAGUAAAUUUUGUAACAAAAAAGAAAGAAAUGAUAGUUUACAGGCACGUGCAGGUAAAAUGUUAGUAAUGUAUUUCUUAUAGUUCUUUCAGAUAUAGCCAAACAAUAAUAAUGUAUUUCCCAUAUUGCAUCUAAAUACUACCCAAACAGUAACAAUCCAUUUACAGGUUAUGUAUUAUGCAGUAAUGUAUUACGCCAAUAAUAUAUUUGACAGAUAAUACAUUUCCAAGUAUCCAAAUGGCCCCUAAAGAUAAAUAAGAUAAGAUUUGAAUAAUUUAAGUUGGCUUUCCUUAUGCAAACUUAGUAUUCUUCGUUUCCCUAAAUUUGGAAGAAAAGCUAAGGGGUAUGUUAAAAUAGCAAUCAAAUAUCCUCCUGAUAUCCCAGGGUGUUAUAGAAUUUAAUAUGAUUUUAAUUAUAGAAGUUAGUGAAUAUGUUUAGGAACCGCGUAUCCUACUAAGAUAUAUUCGAAUAAACCCCACAUAUUCGAUAUCUAAAAAUUAUAGUCUGACUUGAAUUUACG
rnacentral:lncRNA from 1 species